CCCUUAGAUGUUCUGGGCCGCACGCGCGCUACACUGAUUCAUGCAACGAGUUUUGUCCUUGGCUGAAAGGCCUGGGUAAUCUUUGAACGUGAAUCGUGCUGGGGAUAGAUGAUUGCAAUUAUUCAUCUUCAACGAGGAAUUCCUAGUAAACGCAAGUCAUCAGCUUGCAUUGAUUACGUCCCUGCCCUUUGUACACACCGCCCGUCGCACCUACCGAUUGAAUGGUCCGGUGAAAUCUUCGGAUCUGAGAGAUGUUGGAUUAAUUUCUGACGCCUUUUGGAAAAGUCGCUUAAACCUUAUCAUUUAGAGGAAGGUGAAGUCGUAACA
rnacentral:rRNA from 1 species